AUUGAACGCUGGCGGAAUGCUUUACACAUGCAAGUCGAACGGCAGCACGGGGCAACCUGGUGGCGAGUGGCGAACGGGUGAGUAAUACAUCGGAACGUGCCCAAUCGUGGGGGAUAACGUAGCGAAAGUUACGCUAAUACCGCAUACGAUCUACGGAUGAAAGCGGGGGAUCGCAAGACCUCGCGCGAAUGGAGCGGCCGAUGUCAGAUUAGGUAGUUGGUGGGGUAAAGGCUCACCAAGCCAACGAUCUGUAGCUGGUCUGAGAGGACGACCCACCACACUGGGCCUGAGACACGGCCCAGACUCCUACGGGAGGCAGCAUUGGGGAAUUUUGGACAAUGGGCGCAAGCCGGAUCCAGCCAUUCCGCGUGCAGGAUGAAGGCCUUCGGGUUGUAAACUGCUUUUGUACGGAACGAAACGGCUCUCUCUAAUACAGGGGGCUAAUGACGGUACCGUAAGAAUAAGCACCGGCUAACUACGUGCCAGCCGCCGCCGUAAAAC
rnacentral:rRNA from 1 species